CCCAUGGAGGGCUGGGGGCUGCCCCAUGUAGGGCUGGGGGCUGCCCCAUGGAGGGUUGGGGGCUGCCCUAUGGGCUGUGCGUAUCUAAAGGGGGGGGCUGCCCCAUAGCAGGUCAGGAGCUGCCCCAUAGAGGGUGUGCAUAGCUGGAGUGGGUGGGGGGCUGCCCCAUAGCAGAGUUAGGGGGCUGCCCUAUGGACUGUGCGUGUCUAAAGUUAGGGGGCUGCCCCAUAGCGGGGUCAGGAGCUGCCCCAUAGCAGGUGCAUAGAUGGGAUUGGGGACAGCCCCAUAGCGGAGUUAGGGGGGUGCCCUAUGGACUGUGCGUAUCUAAAGGGGGGCUGCCCCAUAGCGGGGUUAAAGGGCUGCCCCAUAGGAGGUGCAUAGAUGGGAUCAGGGGCUGCCCCAUAGCAGGGAUGGGGGCUGCCCCAUAGAGGGGGUGCAUAGCUGGAGUGGGUGGGGGGCUGCCCCAUAGCAGAGUUAGGGGGCUGCCCUAUGGACUGUGCGUGUCUAAAGGGGGGCUGCCCCAUAGCAGGGUUUGGGGCUGCUUCACAUUGGGGUCAGGGGCUGCCUCAUAGGGGGGCUGGGGGCUGCCCCAUAACUGGCUUGGAGGCUGCCCCACAGCGGUUUGGGGUCACACAGCAGGUUUGGGGUCACACAGCGGGUUUGGGGUCACACAG